AGCGUAGGCGGACAUUUAAGUCAGGGGUGAAAUCCCGGGGCUCAACCUCGGAAUUGCCUUUGAUACUGGGUGUCCUGAGUAUGAGAGAGGUGUGUGGAACUCCGAGUGUAGAGGUGAAAUUCGUAGAUAUUCGGAAGAACACCAGUGGCGAAGGCGACACACUGGCUCAUUACUGACGCUGAGGCUCGAAAGCGUGGGGAGCAAACA
rnacentral:rRNA from 1 species